GUGCUGGCUUCGGCAGCACACAUACUAAAAUGGGAACAAUGCAGAGAAGAUUAGCAUGGUCCCUGCGCAAAAAUAACCCUCGAAAAGAAUAAAAUCUACAAAUCCAG